CUACUCUCCUCAGCUGGGCACCAAGGAGGAAGACCCUCAUACUAACGACCUGGUGGGAGGACUGAUGACGGAUGGCUUGCGCAGAUUAUCAGGAAACGAAUACAUCUUUGCUGCGAAACAGCCCCACCUCCCAAGUCACCUAGCCAUGCCCCUUUCGUUGAAUGACAUCCCUCCU